UGAUAUCAAUACCAUGAACUUGUCUCC
rnacentral:piRNA from 1 species